rnacentral:rRNA from 1 species
UACGUAGGGUGCGAGCGUUAAUCGGAAUUACUGGGCGUAAAGCGUGCGUAGGCGGUCCCGCAAGUCCGCUGUGAAAGCCCCGAGCUUAACUUGGGAACUGCAGUGGAAACUAUGGGACUUGAAUCCGGCAGAGGGGGGUGGAAUGCCACGUGUAGCAGUGAAAUGCGUAGAGAUGUGGCGGAACACCGAUGGCGAGGGCAGCCCCCUGGGCUGAGAUUGACGCUCAGGCACGAAAGCGUGGGGAGCAAACAGG